rnacentral:rRNA from 1 species
UUAGUUUUUUUCUUGGUCCGGAAGAAAGCUGGCGGCCUGCCUUACCCCAUCAAAUUGAAAGGAGAAGCGAAGUUUUCGUGGAAGGUUUUAAUGGGGGGCGGGUGAGUAAAGGGUGGAUUACCCGCCUUAGAAUGGGGGAUAACAGCCCGAAAAGGGUGGUUAAACCGCAAAAAGUUGUUUGGGGACAUCCCCGGACAACCAAAGGAACCAUCCGCUUUUUGAUGGGUUCGGGUCCGAUUAGGUAGUUGGUGAGGGAAAAGCUCACCCAGGGGACGAUCGGUUGCCGGCCUUAGAGGGUGAACGGCCCCACUGGGGAUUAGACCCGGCCCCGAAUCCUACGGGAGGCAACCAUGGGGGAUUUUUCGCAAAGGGGGAAAGCCCGACGGAGCAAUGCCGGGUUGGGGAUUAAGGUUUUUGGAUUGUUAACCCUUUUUUUCGGGAAAAAAUUGACGGACCGAGAGGAAGCACGGCAAUA